rnacentral:rRNA from 1 species
UACUAGAGUAGCACUCGCAUAUCAAUAAGCGGAGGAAAAGAAACUAACAAGGAUUCCCCUAGUAACGGCGAGUGAAGCGGGAAGAGCUCAAAUUUGAAAUCUUAAAGGGUUUCCCUUUACGAAUUGUAGUUUAAAGAAGUGUUUUCUGUUGAGGUUUUGGUAAAAGUUCUUUGGAAUAGGACAUCAUAGAGGGUGAGAAUCCCGUAUUUGACCUUUACUUUCAACUUUGUGAUACACUUUCAAAGAGUCGGAUUGUUUGGGAAUGCAGUCCAAAAUGGGUGGUAAAUUUCAUCUAAAGCUAAAUAUUGGCGAGAGACCGAUAGCGAACAAGUACCGUGAGGGAAAGAUGAAAAGAACUUUGAAAAGAGAGUUAAAUAGUACGUGAAAUUGUCAAAAGGGAAGCGUUUGACACCAGUGUUGUUUUUCUGAAAAUCAACCUCUGUUAGCUUUAUGCAUGUUUGUUUAGACCUAAUCAGCUAUCUUGCAUGUUCUAUUGUUUGCAGUGGUGCACUUUUCAGUUUACAGGUCAACAUCAGUUUUUUUUUACCGUAAAAAAGUUAAAGAAAGGUAGCUCAUGGCUCCGGUCGUGAGUGUUAUAGUCUUUUUCCUAUGCGGUAGGAGAGACUGAGGUCCGCAGUGUAGGCUAUUUGGCUAGAUACUCAGGUGCUAUGUGAUACCAUUUCAUAAACAACUUGUUGAUUAUGUUUUGUCUAUUGCAUACUCGCUUGUACUAUCAUACCUACGCUUAGGAUGUUGACGCGCGUGUGUGCGU